GACGAACGCUGGCGGCGUGCUUAACACAUGCAAGUCGAACGGAAAGGCCCUGCUUUUGUGGGGUGCUCGAGUGGCGAACGGGUGAGUAACACGUGAGUAACCUGCCCUUGACUUUAGGAUAACUUCAGGAAACUGGGGCUAAUACCGGAUAGGAGCUCCUGCUGCAUGGUGGGGGUUGGAAAGUUUCGGCGGUUGGGGAUGGACUCGCGGCUUAUCAGCUUGUUGGUGGGGUAGUGGCUUACCAAGGCUUUGACGGGUAGCCGGCCUGAGAGGGUGACCGGCCACAUUGGGACUGAGAUACGGCCCAGACUCCUACGGGAGGCAGCAGUGGGGAAUAUUGCACAGUGGGCGGAAGCCUGAUGCAGCAACGCCGCGUGCGGGAUGACGGCCUUCGGGUUGUAAACCGCUUUCGCCUGUGACGAAGCGUGAGUGACGGUAAUGGGUAAAGAAGCACCGGCUAACUACGUG
rnacentral:rRNA from 1 species